UGGGCUUGCUAGAAACAGUCUGCAGGAGGGGGACUGCCGUGAAUGCCUCUUCUCCCAGUUCAGACAAAUCCUAUUGCUUCUGAGACGCUGAACUGACAGUUCCCCACGAUGUUCGUACUGGGUGAGUGGGCAGAGUGGAAGGGGACUUCUGCGCCGUGACCAAAGGCAAAGCUGCUUUCCUUGGAUCCAGGUGUGGAAGUCAGUGUCCAGGAAAGGGAGGGAAGUGCAUUGCAUCGAAAUGAUGGGAUAAUUACGUGGCAAGGUGGGGGGUUUUCUUGGGCCGCAAGCUGCCCCUGCCAGGGGUGGCUUGGGAGUGGUCGGAGUAAGCAAAAAUCUGCAAUCAAAACAAACAAAAAUAGCGCAUCCUGUUAUGAUAACUGCCCUGGUGGGAUCAGUUUGUAUCUCGCAGGUAGCUGUAAUUAAGCUGCAUCUGAAUGGCUAAUUGCACACCUGUACUGAAGAGGCCAUACAUUAGCCAAGCUCUAGCCUUGCCAAGCCCUAGGUCCUGGAAAAAGGAGAAUAUUUUUUUCAACUACUAUCAUUUUUGCCACAAUGUUUUAUGGAUUAUCUGAUCCCAUAAUGCAUUUUUGGUUUGUGUAAUAUAUUCCGUAAUGUACAUAAAACAGCACUCAGGAUGUGUUCUGUACUGAAUAAACCUACUCCUGGGUGCAGAAAACAA